GGGUGUGUGUCACGGUGUGUCAAGUGCGGGAGUCGAACCCGCCACCACUGGCCCUGAGGAGUCUUCCCGGCUCCCCGCUUCGGGCCGGUGAGGGUGGCCAGGGGCAGCCGAAGACGUGCGUCUGUGCGUGCGUGCGUCCGUGCGUGCGUCCGUGCGUGAGAGCGUGCGAGUCCACGGGGCGGUCCGCGCGUGCCGCGAGUGGUUCAGCCCGGCCCCCGGCUGUUGUGCUCGCCUCACGCCGGCCCGAGUUGGCGACAGCGCUGGAGGCCCCGGGCCUGUGACCGCAAAGAGGGAGCCGGGGGCCGGAUGGGAGCGCGGCGGCGGCAGCUGAGGCCCAGGCCAGGCACCCUCCCCUCAGCCUCCCGUCUGCCCCGCCCCCGCCGGCGGCGCCGCGCCCCUCCGCCAACCGCCAAACUAGCACGGUGCGGGGGCCGCGCGCGAAGACAUGGGGGAGAAGCUGGAGCUGAGGCUGGAGUCGCUCGUGGGGGCCGAGCCCGCCGUCUACCCGUGGCCGCUGCCGGUCUACAGCUGUGCAGCCUUCACCUCUAAUUCCAGAACAUUCCAUCAGCGCAAAGGGCUGGCAGUCCCCUGCUCCAGCCCCUGACACUCUGUGUCUGUGGAUCUGCCUGUUCUGGACGUUUCCCAUCAAUGGAAUCACACACUGUGUGUCCUUCUGUGUCUGGCUUCUCUCACUGAGCAUCGUGUUCUCAGGGUCCGUCCACGUUUAUCUGGUGUGUUGUAGCUUCCCUGAACAUGGUGAGCAAAAGCUGCCUCCCCACAGCACCUCUGGGACCCUCUGACAAGCCAGGUGCGUGCCUGGCCCAAGACAAGAUGCCUGGGCUUCCCUGCCAAUACCUGAGCUGGGAGGGACAUGGAUACUGGGCAGCACAAGACACGGGCUCUCCUCCUUCCGGGCUCUGACUCUGUUGUGUGUCCUUGCUCUCUCACCUGAAGAGGAUACCUCUUAUUUCAACAAGAGGUUAAGUGUUUCAGGCACAAACUUCCUCAUCUUCUUUCUGCUGACUCUGGCUGCCUUCCAAUACAUGUUCCAUGAUGCAGACACCACCAUCUCCACUUCAAAUCCGUCUGUGACUUUCCAUUGCUCUUAGGAUAAAGACUAACCUCCUCACCAUGGUCUAAAAUGUGGAGUCAAAGGAUGGCUUCCGGUGGACAACUGGUGCCGUUCUGUAAGAUAAGGAGCUUGCUUCAGA